rnacentral:lncRNA from 1 species
CUCACAGGCUGGAAUAUUCUUUCACAGGCAAGCAAGGACCCAGGGCUGUGCUCAAGCUGGGCUACAAGGGCUGGACCAGGGUCUGGGGUUGGGCAUAGGUUGGGCUGACUUGCAGUUGCUGGCCUUGGAGAAAGGAGAAGCAAAGCCACUGUGAUUGGAGGAAGGAGAUUCAGGAAGCAAGGACAGCUCUUAGUGUCAGUUCCAAUGGUUGGGUAUGAGAAAGAGGGAGUAAAAACUGGGGCUUCAAGAAGGCAGGGACUAUAGUUGUAUUUCCUCCCAGUGUAUUCACAGUGCAUCUGGUUCACCAAAGACUCUCAAGGUGACUUCAUCCAUGGCGGCUGUGUGGCAGCGAGCUACUUGCGCAUCUCUUCUGUUCCGUGAGGUCAUGUUGGCAGCUUGAAAUUGAUCAAGUGGGAAGCAUUUACAUCACAGAAAUUGGGCAGAGCCAGGAUGAGAACCCAGAUUUCCGGAUUCCAAGUCCAACAUCUUUUCAACCAUCUCAUGGUCAUCCAGAAGUGCAACCAGGAAAAAGUCUGUAGGGAGAUCAUGCCUGUAAUACUCUUGCUGGUUAAAAAGAGUAUUAUGGAUUUUCUGACAGCUCUUUUGCUGUGUCACAUCAGCCCCCUGUCUGAUUUUAUGCUUACAUGGCCAUUACUCUCUAUUAGCAUACUAAUAAAUGUUUAUGAGAUUAUGCUGUAUAAACUAUAAACUUUUACAUAUUAUUAAUUAACCUCAUACAUUGUAUUGGGAGCUCCUGAACAUUUACUGACUUGUAAAACAGGAUAGUGGCAUACAGGGAGCCGUGUCUGCAAAACUGGUCUUAUUUGCUCUAUCUGGAGGAAGGGUUGCAUUUUCAUUUUUGCGACUCUUAAGUGCAAGCCACAGAUAGUAUAGUAUUUGAAAACAGAAGACCUGGGCUUGCCUCUUCCCAGCUGUGACCUUAGGUAAAUUUUGUAAGCUCUCAAAGGCCCAGUUUCCAAAAUGGGCAUAAUAAUACCUAUCUGUGGGGGUACAUGGCAGG